GACGAACGCUGGCGGCGUGCCUAAUACAUGCAAGUCGAACGAACUCUGGUAUUGAUUGGUGCUUGCAUCAUGAUUUACAUUUGAGUGAGUGGCGAACUGGUGAGUAACACGUGGGAAACCUGCCCAGAAGCGGGGGAUAACACCUGGAAACAGAUGCUAAUACCGCAUAACAACUUGGACCGCAUGGUCCGAGUUUGAAAGAUGGCUUCGGCUAUCACUUUUGGAUGGUCCCGCGGCGUAUUAGCUAGAUGGUGGGGUAACGGCUCACCAUGGCAAUGAUACGUAGCCGACCUGAGAGGGUAAUCGGCCACAUUGGGACUGAGACACGGCCCAAACUCCUACGGGAGGCAGCAGUAGGGAAUCUUCCACAAUGGACGAAAGUCUGAUGGAGCAACGCCGCGUGAGUGAAGAAGGGUUUCGGCUCGUAAAACUCUGUUGUUAAAGAAGAACAUAUCUGAGAGUAACUGUUCAGGUAUUGACGGUAUUUAACCAGAAAGCCACGGCUAACUACGUGCCAGCAGCCGCGGUAAUACGUAGGUGGCAAGCGUUGUCCGGAUUUAUUGGGCGUAAAGCGAGCGCAGGCGGUUUUUUAAGUCUGAUGUGAAAGCCUUCGGCUCAACCGAAGAAGUGCAUCGGAAACUGGGAAACUUGAGUGCAGAAGAGGACAGUGGAACUCCAUGUGUAGCGGUGAAAUGCGUAGAUAUAUGGAAGAACACCAGUGGCGAAGGCGGCUGUCUGGUCUGUAACUGACGCUGAGGCUCGAAAGUAUGGGUAGCAAACAGGAUUAGAUACCCUGGUAGUCCAUACCGUAAACGAUGAAUGCUAAGUGUUGGAGGGUUUCCGCCUUUCAGUGCUGCAGCUAACGCAUUAAGCAUUCCGCCUGGGGAGUACGGCCGCAAGGCUGAAACUCAAAGGAAUUGACGGGGGCCCGCACAAGCGGUGGAGCAUGUGGUUUAAUUCGAAGCUACGCGAAGAACCUUACCAGGUCUUGACAUACUAUGCAAAUCUAAGAGAUUAGACGUUCCCUUCGGGGACAUGGAUACAGGUGGUGCAUGGUUGUCGUCAGCUCGUGUCGUGAGAUGUUGGGUUAAGUCCCGCAACGAGCGCAACCCUUAUUAUCAGUUGCCAGCAUUAAGUUGGGCACUCUGGUGAGACUGCCGGUGACAAACCGGAGGAAGGUGGGGAUGACGUCAAAUCAUCAUGCCCCUUAUGACCUGGGCUACACACGUGCUACAAUGGAUGGUACAACGAGUUGCGAACUCGCGAGAGUAAGCUAAUCUCUUAAAGCCAUUCUCAGUUCGGAUUGUAGGCUGCAACUCGCCUACAUGAAGUCGGAAUCGCUAGUAAUCGCGGAUCAGCAUGCCGCGGUGAAUACGUUCCCGGGCCUUGUACACACCGCCCGUCACACCAUGAGAGUUUGUAACACCCAAAGUCGGUGGGGUAACCUUUUAGGAACCAGCCGCCUAAGGUGGGACAGAUGAUUAGGGUG
rnacentral:rRNA from 2 species